CCCUCCUGGCAACCAAGAACGGCUUCAAAAAGACAAUUCUGCUGAAGAGCAGCUCCUGUGCACAGGCUAGCAGGGCUGAGGGCACUGCCUGCAGCCUCCCCUGGCACAGCACAGAGAGCUUCAAUCAGUCAGGGCUGGGAAGAUGCUCAGAAGUGACUGGGGCAGAAUCACUCCCAGCCCUUGACACAGGAAGACUCUGGCUGCAGGACAAUGCAGCUGCAGCUCCUGCAGUGAUCUUCUAAAGCUGGAACAUCCCAAUGCCUACAGACACUGUUUUUUACAGAUCCCCAUGCCAAGAUACAGCAAAUGUCCAACAGCAGCUCCAUCAGCCACUUCCUCCUGCUGCCAUUGGCAGACACGCGGCAGCUGCAGCUCCUGCACUUCUGCCUCUUCCUGGCCAUCUCCCUGGCUGCCCUCCUGGGCAACGGCCUCAUCAUCAGCACCGUAGCCUGUGGCCAUCACCUGCACACCCCCAUGUUCUUCUUCCUGCUCAACCUGGCCCUCAGUGACCUGGGCUCCAUCUGCACCACCACCCAAAGCCAUGCACAAUUCCCUCUGGAACACCAGGACCAUCUCCUACCCAAGAUGUGCUGCACAGCUCUUUUUCCUUCUGGUCUUCCUUGAUGCACAGUAUUUCCUUAUGUGACCCAGCCAAGGAGUUCUUCCAAUGUCCCUUGAGAGGACACCGCAGGGGUUUUUUCGUAAUAAGGACUUCUGAGAAGGCAAUGUGUGGACUCCUGGUUUCAUGUAAAUAUUUAUUUAAAUUUUUGUCUCUGAAAGCAAAGCAUUUAUCUCCUGACUUCCCUGCUACUGUUGAACUGGGCAUGCAUUUUCCUAAGCUAAUAAAAACCUUCCCCUAUGAUUCUGUAAUUUCCAAAGGAACAGCAUGAAGUCACUUUUCUUUUUCUUGUCCCCACACGUUCAGCUUGACUUGUGCUCAAAGACAGGGAUGACUUCAUAGCAAUAUGUGGUGAAUUGUUAUUUUGGAGGGGGAUUUGCAAGUUUAGGGCUAAAAUAUGGUGUGUAAGAAAAGGCUUUUUUUGUAGCAUUAGAUAAAUGCUUUUGCAUGAGGUGUUGAAGGUCAGUUGUUUUACCAGUUCAAAGGGAGAAAACCAAACCAGGCUGACGGUGACACUCCUUUCAGCAAGGCUUGGUAUAUAUUUGAGCAAUUAUUUCAGCAGGGUUUUUUCUGUUAAUGCUGCUUUUGGUUGUGUUUGCUUUGCCAUGCAUUUAACUCAUUGUCAGUGUUUCUCAUACAGUAGGAGUGUUCCUCCUAGUGAGUGUUUUCCACUCAAAGCAAGCAAUUGUGGUAUAAAGCAAGAAGAAUCUCAAAAAGUGGUUUACAGUUUGUUUUGGAUUUGGCUUUGGAUUUUUUUUUUUAAUUUUUUUUUAACCCAACACUCUUUAACUCUACGACUGUGAGUUUUCUAGUUUUCUCCAAAAACUUGGCAUGAAUUUCCCCUUUCUGUCCCAUUGGUAGAUACUGUUUCUCUUAGAAAAGCUUCUACCCUCCACCUUCACUGCCCUGUUUUGAAGCAGUGCUCCAGUUUAGCCUGCAGCAAUGGCUCUUGCAUCCUUUUCCAUUCAGGUAAUUAAAACCUGAAGUAAAACUAACAUUUCGUUGUUGCCAUACCUGCCACAGGAGCUCACAUUACUGCAGUGUAAUUUGUGAGGCAGCUGAGAGGAGAGGGAAGGACUGGGUCAGAGUUCCUAAGGAACUCAGAAUUUCAG